rnacentral:lncRNA from 1 species
AAUGAAUUCUCUGAAAGGAACACGAGAAAUACGAAAAGUAAUUGAAAAUAGAAAGUAUCUAAUAUUUACUCGCAAUCUUCCUACGGAUCGGGCUUUAGAAUUAGGUCCUCUUGAUCUGAAAUUGUUAGAUAAGAGAUGAGCGACACUAGCUCAGUAAGGAUAUCGCACUACAUCACCAGCACAGAAGUAAAAGUUGGUAGAAAAUCAAAACAACUGAU